UCCGCCGUGGUGUAAUGGCAGCACAUCUGAUUUUGGUUCAGAGAGUUCAGGUUCGAGUCCUGGCGGCGGAG
rnacentral:tRNA from 4 species